GGUCUGUUGGUCAAGCGGUUAAGACGUCGCCCUCUCACGGCGAAAACAGGGGUUCGAUUCCCCUACAGACUG
rnacentral:tRNA from 1 species